GGAAACUGGACCGACCCUUUCGGGGAGCUUGUACAGGUGCUGCAUGGCUGUCGUCAGCUCGUGUCGUGAGAUGUUCGGUUAAGUCCGCUAACGAGCGCAACCCUCGCUGUGUGUUACAAGUGUCGCACGGAACUGCCGGUCAUAACCGGAGAAGUGGGGAUGACGUCAAGUCAGCAUGGCCUUUAUAUCCUGGGCUACACACACGCUACAAUGGGAAGGGACAAUAGGUUGCGAAGCCGCGAGGCGGAGCCAAUCCAGCAAAACUUCCCUCAGUUCAGAUUGCAGGCUGCAACCCGCCUGCAUGAAGUUGGAGUUGCUAGUAAACGCAGGUCAGCCAUACUGCGUUGAAUACGUUCCCGGGGCUU
rnacentral:rRNA from 1 species